rnacentral:rRNA from 1 species
ACAUCCAGCGAACUUGGCAGAGAUUGCCUUGGGUGCCUUCGGGAACGCUGAGACAGGUGCUGCAUGGCUGUCGUCAGCUCGUGUUGUGAAAUGUUGGGUUAAGUCCCGNAACGAGCGCAACCCUUAUCCUUUGUUGCCAGCGAUUCGGUCGGGAACUCAAAAGGAGACUGCCGGUGAUAAACCGGAGGAAGGUGGGGAUGACGUCAAGUCAUCAUGGCCCUUACGAGUAGGGCUACACACGUGCUACAAUGGCGCAUACAAAGAGAAGCGACCUCGCGAGAGCAAGCGGACCUCAUAAAGUGCGUCGUAGUCCGGAUCGGAGUCUGCAACUCGACUCCGUGAAGUCGGAAUCGCUAGUAAUCGUGGAUCAGAAUGCCACGGUGAAUACGUUCCCGGGCCUUGUACACACCGCCCGUCACACCAUGGGAGUGGGUUGCAAAAGAAGUAGGUAGCUUAACCCUCGGGAGGGCGCUUACCACUUUGUGAUUCAUGACUGGGGUGAAGUCGUAACAAGGUAGGCGUAGCGAG